rnacentral:rRNA from 1 species
CAGUAGCCACGGUAAUACGUAGGUGGCAAGCGUUGUCCGGAAUUAUUAGGCGUAAAGGGCUCGCAGGCGGUUUCUUAGGUCUGAUGUGAAAGCCCCCGGCUCAACCGGGGAGGGUCAUUGGAGACUGGGAAACUUGAGUGCAGACGAGGAGAGUGGAAUUCCACGUGUAGCGGUGAAAUGCGUAGAGAUGUGGAGGAACACCAGUGGCGAAGGCGACUCUCUGGUCUGUAACUGACGCUGAGGAGCGAAAGCGUGGGGAGCGAACAGGAUUAGAUACCCGCGUAGUCCCUGUCUCUUAUAA